rnacentral:rRNA from 1 species
UGGGGAAUCUUGCACAAUGGGGGCAACCCUGAUGCAGCGACGCCGCGUGAGCGAUGAAGCCUUUCGGGGCGUAAAGCUCUUUCGACCGGAACGAUAAUGACGGUACCGGGAGAAGAAGCUGCGGCUAACUACGUGCCAGCAGCCGCGGUAAUACGUAGGCAGCAAGCGUUGUUCGGAGUUACUGGGCGUAAAGAGUGCGUAGGUGGUUUUCUAAGUUCGGUGUGAAAUCUCCCGGCUUAACUGGGAGGGUGCGCCGAAGACUGGGAAGCUGGAGUGUGGGAAAGGCAGGCGGAAUUCCUGGUGUAGCGGUGAAAUGCGUAGAUAUCAGGAGGAACACCGGCGGUGUAGACGGCUUGCUAGACCAUAACUGACGCUGAGGCACGAAAGCGUGGGUAGCAAACA